rnacentral:rRNA from 1 species
CCUACGGGAGGCAGCAGUAGGGAAUAUUGCUCAAUGGGGGAAACCCUGAAGCAGCAACGCCGCGUGAAGGAUGAAGGUUUUCGGAUUGUAAACCCCUUUUGUUAGAGAAGAAAAUGACGGUAUCUAACGAAUAAGCACCGGCUAACUCCGUACCAGCAGCCGCGGUAAUACGGAGGGUGCAAGCGUUAUUCGGAAUCACUGGGCGUAAAGAGCGCGUAGGCGGGAUGGCAAGUCAGAUGUGAAAUCCUAGGGCUUAACCCUAGAACCGCAGUUGAAACUGUUAUUCUAGAGUGUGGGAGAGGUAGGUGGAAUGCUUGGUGUAGCGGUGAAAUGCGUAGAGAUCAAGAGGAACACCGAUGGCGAAGGCGGCCUGCUGGAACAUAACUGACGCUGAGGCGCGAAAGCGUGGGGAGCAAACAGGAUUAGAUACCCCAGUAGUC